AGAGACUUAGGUUAUUAAAGACCAAGGGCCUUCAAAGCCCUAAGUGGGAGUGAAAAUCUCCCAGCCUCUG
rnacentral:tRNA from 1 species